AUCAAGCAGCCCCUGAUGGCUGGACGAGGUAGCAGUAAGACUGGGAGCCCUUCACACACAGCCUCUGACAACUGGAUCCUGGUCACGGCCUGUUUCUCCACCCCCAGAGUGUGGGUGGGAGGCACACCAAGUCUGGCUGUGGAUAAACGAGAGGGUAAGAGAGUAGCGGACUCCCUGUUCCUGAUGAGUCAGACAGGGACCCUAGUGGAGUACAUACUGGACCCAAAGUCCAAGCAACUGUCAGAGAAAGUGACCGACGGAACCCCUCUGGACUUAACCAUCACUGGUUAUACCCAGUGGCAUUUACAGAGGUCAAAAACCUCUGAUGAAGUCCGCCCCCCUCUAGUCAACAACAACCCCCUCAUCCUUGCCUCUGACACGGUUAUGUCUCAGCGACCUAGUUCCUCACAUUCAGAUGGAGGAGACUUGUUGCCAGUCAUCAGACAGGACUCCAGGGAUAGUCUUACAUCAGAACAAGAAAAGAAAGGGGUUGAUCAGGAGGAGUGGCUCUCACAGGUGGAGAUAAUUACCCACAUGGGGCCUCAUCGUCGCCUGUGGAUGGGCCCCCAGUUUUCGUUCAAGACCUAUCAGAACGUACAGAACACUACGGUCCUGUCCUCCCAGUCCUCUGCGCUCCUAUCCCAGAGUCCUGAGGUCAACCUGUCCAACAUGGACAUCACAUCCGAUGAAGUCGACUUGGAAAGUCUCAAGUGAGAAUUUCGUCCUUCUAAUGAAAUGAUCAAAAAUUGUAUUAAAAUCCUAUAGUUUGGUGAUUUGUAAAUUUAGAAUUUUGAAAGAAAAAAAUUUAUAGAAGGAAUUUUUUAAGUUAUGUGGAAUACAUGUAUCUGUAGGAUACAGCCAGCUCGAUCGAGUCCAGUAGCCAUGCCUAAUGCUCGUCCUGCGUACAGACGGACAGGAAGUGACUCUACCUCAUCUCCAGGAAAAAACUCCACUCCCUUACUGAUUGAAGCAGGUAGUUUUGACCAGUCACCAAACUUAUGUGAUGUGUACAGCAGUUGGGCAGAAUCAACUGUUGCUAAGCAACCAAGAGGAAGUGAAGAAUUUGAUGAAAAGAUGAAAGAGAAUUUGGCAGAAGCCAUGUUGGAAUCCCCCAUGAAGGAAGGAGGACCCUCCUGUAUAUCACAUGAUGUGUUUGUGGGGAGCAAUGAGAACCUGAGUACGUCCUCGGGGUCCAGUAUCGGCCUGACCCGGGAACACGUCAUGGACCCGAUGUUCAGCACCAGCAACGAGUCUCCGGACUCAAGUUAGCGACCUGGAACCGGAAGUCAGCUGUAUAGUGACACCGUCAUAACUGGACGUUGACUACGUAUGACGUCACUUUCAUAUGGCUGGUGGGGACGAUGCUUUGGAGUGGAAAAUAGGGCCAUUUGUUGUUUUGUGAAAAAUUUCCCACUGUUGGCUUAUUACGGCAGUGUUCAAUUUUUUUAAAAAUAUUUAUAAGGGUGAUUUAAAAAAUAAAAACAAAUUUAUACUUCACGUGUAAUCUUAUGACGCUGGUCUGCAUUGAUUUUAAAUUAUUUAUGUUAUCUCAAAUUAUACGAAAUAUAAAGAUAUAAUCUGUUAUGACUUCAGUUACAAGUUAGACUUUAUUUCCUGUGUGAUAGCAUAUAAAGGGACAUGUUUGGUAAUCAAUUUGUUGUCAUGAGUGUAUGGAAGAGGAGCUACAUGUGUAGUCUUAGUGAAUAUACAUGUCUAUAUCAUUAAGUACAUGGUUGUUAUUUUAACUUUCUUUGAAAAAAAUAUUUUCUUAAAUACACGUACAUGUAUGCUUAUUAAAAUGUGAUACCAAAA
rnacentral:misc_RNA from 1 species